rnacentral:rRNA from 1 species
UCCGUAGGCGGAUUGAUAAGUCAGAGGUGAAAUCCCACAGCUUAACUGUGGAACCGCCUUUGAAACUGUUAGUCUUGAGUUAUAUGGAAGUAGAUAGAAUGUGUAGUGUAGCGGUGAAAUGCAUAGAGAUUACACAGAAUACCGAUUGCGAAGGCAGUCUACUACGUAUAUACUGACGCUAAUGGACGAAAGCGUGGGGAGCGAACAGGAUUAGAUACCCUGGUAGUCC